rnacentral:rRNA from 1 species
UAAGGAAUAUUGGACAAUGGACGCAAGUCUGAUCCAGCCAUGCCGCGUGAAGGAUGAAUGCCCUCUGGGUUGUAAACUUCUUUUAUAGGGGAAGAAAGAUACUUUUUUUAAGGUAGUUGACGGUACCCUGUGAAUAAGCACCGGCUAACUCCGUGCCAGCAGCCGCGGUAAUACGGAGGGUGCAAGCGUUAUCCGGAUUUACUGGGUUUAAAGGGUGCGUAGGCGGGCAUGUAAGUCAGUGGUGAAAUACCGGAGCUUAACUUCGGAACUGCCAUUGAUACUAUAUGUCUUGAAUAUUGUGGAGGUAAGCGGAAUAUGUCAUGUAGCGGUGAAAUGCAUAGAUAUGACAUAGAACACCGAUUGCGGAGGCAGCUUGCUACGCAAAUAUUGACGCUGAGGCACGAAAGCGUGGGGAUCAAACA